AACGCGAAGAACCUUACCUGGGCUCGAAAUGUUAUGGACCGGGGUAGAAAUAUCCCUUCCCAGCAAUGGGCCGUAAUAUAGGUGCUGCAUGGCUGUCGUCAGCUCGUGUCGUGAGAUGUUGGGUUAAGUCCCGCAACGAGCGCAACCCUCGUCCAAUGUUGCCAGCGGGUAAUGCCGGGGACUCAUUGGAGACUGCCGGGGUCAACUCGGAGGAAGGUGGGGAUGACGUCAAGUCAUCAUGCCCCUUAUGUCUUGGGCUGCAAACAUGCUACAAUGGCCGGUACAAAGCGCUGCGACACCGUGAGGUGAAGCGAAUCGCAUAAAAGCCGGUCUCAGUUCGGAUCGGGGUCUGCAACUCGGCCCCGUGAAGCCGGAGUCGCUAGUAAUCGCGGAUCAGCAACGCCGCGGUGAAUACGUUCCCGGGCCUUGUACACACCGCAUAC
rnacentral:rRNA from 1 species